rnacentral:rRNA from 1 species
UUGAACGCUGGCGGCAGGCCUAACACAUGCAAGUCGAACGGUAACAGGAAGAAGCUUGCUUCUUUGCUGACGAGUGGCGGACGGGUGGGUAAUGUCUGGGAAACUGCCUGAUGGAGGGGAUAACUACUGGAAACGGUAGCUAAUACCGCAUAACGUCGCAAGACCAAAGAGGGGGACCUUCGGGCCUCUUGCCAUCGGAUGUGCCCAGAUGGGAUUAGCUAGUAGGUGGGGUAACGGCUCACCUAGGCGACGAUCCCUAGCUGGUCUGAGAGGAUGACCAGCCACACUGGAACUGAGACACGGUCCAGACUCCUACGGGAGGCAGCAGUGGGGAAUAUUGCACAAUGGGCGCAAGCCUGAUGCAGCCAUGCCGCGUGUAUGAAGAAGGCCUUCGGGUUGUAAAGUACUUUCAGCGGGGAGGAAGGGAGUAAAGUUAAUACCUUUGCUCAUUGACGUUACCCGCAGAAGAAGCACCGGCUAACUCCGUG